GGAAACCCUAAGGAAAACUGAUCUCUGUAGUGGGGAGAUCUGUUGUGAUUCUGGGAGAGCCGCUGCCGUCCUUCUGCUGUGGGGAGGAGCAGGUGGGCAGCUGGGAGUGCCGCAGCCACCACUGCCACUGUGGGAGGGGGAGAGGAAGCAGAGGUGAAGCUGGGCGGGUGAUGGCGUAGAAAUAGAAAGUGAUGGGGUCAGAACCCGAAAGAGAGAAAGUGACUGGCAUGGAGGAGAGACACAGAAAGAAAAAGGGAGGCAGGAGGUUUGGAAAGGGUGAGACACUGAGAAAUAGGAGGGAAAGAGAGAAACCAAAGGUGGGAAUGGGAUAACCCCUCCCACAAGUUCCUUGCAGGUCCCCUCUUGUGUAUAUCUGAUAACAACAUGUGACACUUCCCCCACCUUCCCAUCUUCAGAUAUUUAAAUCCACAGGUCAGGACCAUACUGAUACUAUCCAGGUCUUUUUGCAAACUUAUGUUACUACCCAGGUUUGUAGAAAAAUCUGAUAAUUAAAAAUAUAUAUUGGAGGUUUAACCCCACCCCCCCCCCCCCCCAAUUUAAAAUGCAGACAACACUCUUCCCUUCUGAGCUGCUGGUUGUGGUGGUGACUGCUACAGAGAUUCUUUCUGGGUCUGGCUGCCAUUUCAGAGGACGCAAGAAGAGGCUCCAGUGUUCUCCCAAUGCAGCUCCCAGCAUCCUCCACUAAGGCAGCUGGGACCAGAGCGAAGCCUAAGGUUGGUGGUGAGGCCUGGAGCCAUGAUGGGGGAGCAGAAAUAGAAUUCCCUUUCCCUUACAGCUCUCUCGGAUCUUCCAGUUUUAUCAUGAAUAAUAUGGAAACUGGCUUUUUAUUAUUAUACUUUGCCUCUUGUUAGCUAGGUUUUAAGCAUCAGCUCUUGGAGGCGAUUUUUGCAUCAUACCAUGCCAUAAAUUAAACUAAUUUAUUGCUGAUGUCACUGGGAAUACGAUUUCUGUGGUCUAUGAGAAAUAUCUUUGUGUUCUGUUUCUUUUACCCCAUUCUUUACAUUGUGCUGUCUCUGAAUUCUUUCUCUUAUUACUCCUUCCAAAUUGGUUUUGAUAUCAAGUUCUUCGAGAAUAGGAUGGAGAGAAAAAUAGAGGACCUCUUUUCCUUUGGCACAGUCCAGAAACAGAAAGCAAAACUGUAAUUAAACAUUUUCAAAAGUAAUGUUUAGAAAACAGCACUUAUAUUCGUUUUGAAUUGUCAGGACUGUCAAAGUACACACAUUCUCUUUGGCCCCAAUCUCUCUGCAGAGUCUUCAUGCAGGAUGUGUUGAGGCAAAACUGUUUCAAAGUACACUGAACGAUUUUCCAAGGCAAUUUCAAAGGAUGUCCUGAAGCUUGGUUACAAAGUGAUAAAAAAUAAAAUCAGAAUACUUGAUUUGGAUAAAUUAUUCAGUAGUACAGAGCAGAGUUUCAGCUUAUAGACAGCUUGAAAUAAGUUCAACUAUUUUUGUAGACUGAUAUUGGUUGUAUAGUAUUUUAUCUCCUUUUGAGGAUAAGGCCAAUGGUGUGUCUUAUGAGAUGGUUUAUUAAGGGUUAGCAGAGAUACUUAAAAUGAGCCCAGUUUAGUAACUAGAGGUAGAAGUUCAGUAAACCCAAACGAGGGGAAAAAAACCUGAAAAAGACCCCAUCUUUACCUGAAAAAAGGCAGCAAUAACAGGGAGCCUAAAAAUGGAUCCAGAAAAGUGCUGAUGUUUUUCAGUAUUUUUCAGCCUGUUUGGCUUGCUGCCUCAAAAAAACCAUUGCAUCUCACUGCCUUCCUCACUUUCUUGAAGCAUGGCAAGGUCCAGCUUUAUACUGCUGUCUUCACCUCCGAAAUCCACAUGGACUUUGGAGGCAGUGUGUGCAGUUGAAGGCGAGACCUGGCCAGCUGUGCUCCAAGUCCAGCUUUAUACUUCUGUAUCCGCCUCCUAUGUGACACUGUUACCCAAAUUGGUCUGGUCUGUUCCCUUUUAAUUAUGAGGAAUUAGCAGGAACAGACCUUGCAAACGAGAACGGCUGGGCCAGGAUCUUUCUACGAGUGAAUACAGAGGUCUUUCCCCUUAGAAAUCCACAUAAACUAGAAUUUCAGAGAAGGUUUUGCAAUUUUCUUAAAGAGACAAAAAUAAUAAAAACACACACAUAAUUCAGUAGCACACAAGCACACAUACAUAGAGUUUCAAGUAACCUAGGAUAUAUAGAGAGAUGAAGGAUAGCUUGAGAAUAGCAGAGGGUGUAGAGGGAAGGAUGAUAUUUACCAAUCUAGAAGAAAAUUCAAGGAAGCAAAAUCCAGCUCCAGGAUUGUUUCCCAGGAGAAGGACAGCAUUGGGCACAAUGGAACCAGAACCAAAGGUGGAACCAGAUUGAGAGGCGAGGGAGGGGUCCUUGUUUGCGAGGACUAGUUGUAGGAAAAAUUAGCCCUUUGGCAAUGAUAAAAGUGGCUACUUUCCAGAAACAAAGCAAAGUUCCCAUAGCAGAAACAGUGCUAUGGGAAAAGGAAUGAUUAGGUUAAAACCUGGGAGUGCCCAACACCUGAUGAAAUCAGGACCGUGUUGAGGAAACUAAUGCCAGGGGCGUUCCAAGUCAGUGUGAGCCUGGACUGACAUAAUAAAGGAACUCAAGGCUGUGCUGUGGGCUCCUGAGCCUCCAGGGAAGGCAUUGUUGACUGCUAUGCAUACUUGCUUCAGAGGAGGAAAGCGUGUUCAGGCAAACCCUUCUUAAUAUCAAAGUCCAAGAAUUAAGAUGGAAUCCAUCUUAAUCUGAACUGUCUAUGAUACCAAGAUAUGACUGGUAGAGCGUUUUAGAAAAUGCCCCUCCCCCCGGUCUUGCUACAGGUCUGCAUGCCAACAACUCUGAGCUCGGCCUGGCCAGGUCCAGCUUUAAAUUGUUGGCUUCGGAGUUGGAGCCCCCAUUUUAAUGCUGAAUGCGGAACUGGCAGGGCCCAGCACCUGUCUCCGAAAUAGGCAUAUUUUUGUGGUUCAGAUUUAAUAACCUAAACAUUUUAAGAACAUUUGGGAGGGUUUCCAAAAUUUCUUGGUUUAUUAAACCUGAACCCGGAAAAUAUUAGGAAAAAAAAAGGUGGCCACCCCUACUAAUAACUUUAACAAGUGGGGCCCACUGAUUUAGUGUACAUUUCUUGAUCUUGGAAGGCUUGAUCUCAUUUCACAACUACGAAACUAAUUGUGUGAACUUGCAUUGGAGCAUAAUAUACACUAUCUUGGAGGGAAAGUAGGAUAGAAAUGUACCACGUUGUUGAAAAGUGCUAUAAACCCCCAGCUAUAACAGUCUUUCUGUGACCCCUUAAAUCAGAUGUGAUGAGGAAAAGGAAUGUUGUUGUACUUCACACCUGUGUGAUGCAGUAGAAACAAUGAGGGGAAAAAUCAUUCGGCAAAUGCACAAAGUCUGCUCUCUCUUUUUGGACAUGCAGAUCUUAAAAUAGAACAAGGUUUGUUUUUCAGUUUGGAAUUUCGGUUCAUAAAGUCGUGUUCAAGAGCCAGUGUGGUGAGGUGGUUAAAGUGUUGAACUAGGACUUAAUGACAAAAAAGGGUACUGUGUAUUAAUUGAAGGUUUGUAAUGUUAAUAACAGAGACAUGGCCCAAUAAAAGAAAUAACUAUUA